rnacentral:rRNA from 1 species
GACGAACGCUGGCGGCGUGCUUAACACAUGCAAGUCGAACGGAAAGGCCCUGCUUGCAGGGUACUCGAGUGGCGAACGGGUGGGUAACACGUGGGUGAUCUGCCCUGCACUACGGGUUAAACCUGUGAAACUGGGUCUAAUACCGGAUAGGAGCCAUUUUUAGUGGGAUGGUUGGAAAGUUUUUUCGGUGUAGGCUGAGCUCGCAGCCUAUCAGCUUGUUGAGGGGGCAAUGGCCUACCAAGGCGGCUACGGGUAGCCGGCCUGAGAGGCUGGACGGCGACACUGGCACUGAGAGGCGGCACAGACAGCUAAGCGAGCCAGAAGUGGGGAAUCUUGAACAAUGGGCGCAAGCCUGAUGAUGCGACGCCGCGUAGCGGAAGACUGUCUUAGGGUUGUAAACUAUAUUUGCAAGGGACGGAGCUUAUUGUGACGGUACCUAGAGAAGAAGCGCCGGCUAACUACGUG